rnacentral:misc_RNA from 1 species
AUCAAUAUAUUCAAGGAUGACAAGCGACUCUAUUAUGGGUUUCCCAUUAUGAACGAGUACAGGAACUUUCUUGUGAAUUGGAUUGUAAUUAAGCAGGGAUGGACUCUUGUUGGCUAAAUCUUCCUCCACAUACUCAUAGGGUAUGCCUUUAAUUCUGAGAGCCAUUUCCACUCUCUUAGAGUAAGUACUUGCCCACAUUCCAUAUAGUGUGACUUUGUCUUCCUUCUCCAUCUCUCUCUGUUUCAGUAAAGCCAGUGAAGCCUUUAUCUUUGCCUUUCUUUCCAAGUGAGAAAUGGAAACAAGUAGAGACUCGGGGCUUCAUUAUAUGGCAACUUAUUGAAUGCCAUGAAUUCUUCCACAAAACGUGCACCGACCAAAAUAAGUAAAUGCAGUAGCCAAAGAUGACAUUAUUGGAUAUACACUUGCCCCAUGGUACCCAUGAAAUUAAUGAGCAAAUAUAUUAAUAGUUAUCCUUACAAGGAUAAGCCUUCUAGCCCCAUUAAUUGACUAAACAAUAAAAUUUUAAAAUGAUCAUGCUUUUGACCAAACCCACCAUUCCUCUAU